GACGAACGCUGGCGGCGUGCUUAACACAUGCAAGUCGAACGAUGAAGCCGGAGCUUGCUCUGGUGAAUUAGUGGCGAACGGGUGAGUAACACGUGAGUAACCUGCCCUUGACUCUGGGAUAACUGCUAGAAAUGGUAGCUAAUACCGGAUACGACCCUCGGAGGCAUCUCCAGGGGGUGGAAAGAAUUUCGGUCAAGGAUGGACUCGCGGCCUAUCAGCUAGUUGGUGAGGUAACGGCUCACCAAGGCGACGACGGGUAGCCGGCCUGAGAGGGUGACCGGCCACACUGGGACUGUGACACGGCCCAGACUCCUACGGGAGGCAGCAGGGGGGAAUAUUGCACAAUGGGCGCAAGCCUGAUGCAGCAACGCGGCGUGAGGGAUGACGGCCUUCGGGUUGUAAACCUCUUUUAGUAGGGAAGAAGCGAAAGAGACGGUACCUGCAGAAAAAGCACCGGCUAACUACGUGCCAGCAGCCGCCGUAA
rnacentral:rRNA from 1 species